rnacentral:rRNA from 1 species
AACGUGCCCAUUAGUGGGGGAUAGCCCGGCGAAAGCCGGAUUAAUACCGCAUACGACCUGAGGGUGAAAGCGGGGGAUCGCAAGACCUCGCGCUAUUGGAGCGGCCGAUAUCAGAUUAGCUAGUUGGUGGGGUAAAAGCCUACCAAGGCAACGAUCUGUAAUUGGUCUGAGAGGACGACCAGCCACACUGGGACUGAGACACGGCCCAGACUCCUACGGGAGGCAGCAGUGGGGAAUUUUGGACAAUGGGCGCAAGCCUGAUCCAGCAAUGCCGCGUGCAGGAAGAAGGCCUUCGGGUUGUAAACUGCUUUUGUCAGGGAAGAAAUCCUUUGGGUUAAUACCUCGAAGGGAUGACGGUACCUGAAGAAUAAGCACCGGCUAACUACGUGCCAGCAGCCGCGGUAAUACGUAGGGUGCGAGCGUUAAUCGGAAUUACUGGGCGUAAAGCGUGCGCAGGCGGCUUUGCAAGACAGAGGUGAAAUCCCCGGGCUCAACCUGGGAACUGCCUUUGUGACUGCAAGGCUAGAGUACGGCAGAGGGGGAUGGAAUUCCGCGUGUAGCAGUGAAAUGCGUAGAUAUGCGGAGGAACACCGAUGGCGAAGGCAAUCCCCUGGGCCUGUACUGACGCUCAUGCACGAAAGCGUGGGGAGCAAACAGGAUUAGAUACUCUGGUAGUCCACGCCCUAAACGAUGUCAACUG